ACGAACGCUGGCGGCGUGCCUAAUACAUGCAAGUAGAACGCUGAGGUUUGGUGUUUACACUAGACUGAUGAGUUGCGAACGGGUGAGUAACGCGUAGGUAACCUGCCUCAUAGCGGGGGAUAACUAUUGGAAACGAUAGCUAAUACCGCAUAAGAGUAAUUAACACAUGUUGGUUAUUUAAAAGGAGCAAUUGCUUCACUGUGAGAUGGACCUGCGUUGUAUUAGCUAGUUGGUGAGGUAAAGGCUCACCAAGGCGACGAUACAUAGCCGACCUGAGAGGGUGAUCGGCCACACUGGGACUGAGACACGGCCCAGACUCCUACGGGAGGCAGCAGUAGGGAAUCUUCGGCAAUGGACGGAAGUCUGACCGAGCAACGCCGCGUGAGUGAAGAAGGUUUUCGGAUCGUAAAGCUCUGUUGUUAGAGAAGAACGUUGGUAGGAGUGGAAAAUCUACCAAGUGACGGUAACUAACCAGAAAGGGACGGCUAACUACGUGCCAGCAGCCGCGGUAAUACGUAGGUCCCGA
rnacentral:rRNA from 1 species